CCCUGCCGCCGCCUCCUCGCCCUCCUCCUUCUUGUCCUUCGUCCACUCUUCUCAGCGGGCGCUCCACGGCCCUGCUCCGGGCUCGCCUGAGUGCUGGGCUCUGCAGACGCAGGGAUGGGCCAGGGGAGCCCCUGACCCCGGAGGGAGCAGGUCCAGAGGAGGCAGCAGAGGCUUCCUGGAGGAGUAAGAAGGCGCCUCCUCUGGAGGGCUGCAGCCCACCUCACCCACGCUGGGAAGAACGGGUGCGGAGAGCAGAGCUGGGAUUCGAUUUCAGCCUCAAACUUGUGAGCUGGGUCCAACCCACACAACCUUCUUUAGAGAAUGAGAUUCCAGGGCAUUGGCCACGCAAAACAACUGGCCCGCAGGUGCCACGAGCCAGUGUUAGGUCCACCCUGCCUCCCCUCUUGCCCCUUCACCUCCCUCACGGAUGGGCGGGUGCUGUUAGCGCUUGGCUUGGAAACCACCCUUUCUCAUCAGCAGCCUCCUGAGCCCUAGUCCCCCAAAGGGCAGCCCAGUGGCAAUGUCUGUAGCUACCCCACCAGAAAGGGACUUAGACCCCCAGAGAGCCCAGCACGGUGCUCCUGCCAUCAUCACUCCUUCUGUCCCUUGUUCAUUCAGUCAUUCAGCAAGCAUUUCAGGCCCUGAUCUGUGCCAACCCUCUGUUGGGCCUGCAGGUGCCAAGGUGAAUCAGGCAUGGUGCCAGCCCCAGAGAGGUCCCUGACUGGUGGGGAGACAGACCAUUAGCACACAGAAAUGCAGGCGUACUUUCACCUAUAUGUGCCAAACGCCCUUCAAGGCUCAAGGAUACAGUGUGGAAACAGAUAAGGUCCUUCCAUGCUCUCCUGCAGCUAUGUCUUAGUUGGAAGAGAUACACACAAAAUCAAGAAAACAAAAGAUUAUUUCAGGUCAUCAUAACUUCUAUGGAAAAAACAAAACAGACCAAUGUGAGAGCAGUGGGGGUAACUGUAGAGUAAGUGAUCAGGCAAGGCCUCACGGAGGAGGUGACGUUCCACUGAAUGGCAAAACGGAUCCUGCCCCAUGAAGAUCCAGCGGAAGGGUGCUCCUGGCAGAGGGAAUGGCAAUGCAGAGACCUCAAGGCUUUUGUACCCCUAGGAGAACUAUGUCUUCCUCAUCUUUGUCUUCAGAGGAUAAAUACAAGGAUUGACACAUAACAAGCGUUAGGCCCCAAAGUGCAAGAGGAGUGUUGCUGGUGAUUCCGAUAUGCUAAAGGGAAGCUGUAAAGUACUUCCUUUAAGUAGAAAGGUGAAAGUACUUGACUUAAUAAGAAAAUUUAAAAAACAAAAUUGUGUGCUGUGGUUGCUAAGCUCUACAGUAAGAAUGAUUCUAUUCAUGAAAUUGUGAAGAAGGAAAGAAAUUUGUGCUAGUUUUGCUGUUGCACCUCAAGCUACAAAAGUUACAACACCUGUGUGUGAUGAAUGCUUAGUAAUGAUGGAAAAGGCAUUAAAUUUGUGGGUGCUAGACACGAACAGAAACGUGUUCUGAUUGACGGUAAUCAGGUUCCACUAGGGGUAUUGGAACGCAUCCCCGAGGAUAAUGGGGGCUACUGUAUUCUACCAACUUACUCCUCUUGAAGAAUUCCCUUCGGAUUUCUGACUGCUGUGUCCUGGACUGCUUGAUGACAAGGCCAGCUGCCCUGGUUGUCACCUGGAGACUGUUCUGCACUUUUCUCCUGGGUCGAACCCCUCACUUGCUAGAUCCCAUGUCCUCCCCUUCUGGGUUGACUGCCUUAUUUGGGGGAACAUAUACCC